GCGGGUGGCGAAAUGGCAGACGCGCAUGGUUUAGGACCAUGUUCCGAAAGGAGUGGAGGUUCAAGUCCUCUCCCGCCCA
rnacentral:tRNA from 1 species